AGAGUGAACGCUGGCGGCAGGCCUAAUACAUGCAAGUCGAACGGCAGCACAGCAGGCUUGCUCUGUGGGUGGCGAGUGGCGGACGGGUGAGGAAUACAUGGGAAUCUGCCCAGUCGUGGGGGAUAACGUAGGGAAACUUACGCUAAUACCGCAUG
rnacentral:rRNA from 1 species